CCUACGGGAGGCAGCAGUGGGGGAUAUUGCACAAUGGGGGAAACCCUGAUGCAGCGACGCCGCGUGGGCGAAGAAGUAUUUCGGUAUGUAAAGCCCUAUCAGCAGGGAAGAAGAAAUGACGGUACCUGAGUAAGAAGCACCGGCUAAAUACGUGCCAGCAGCCGCGGUAAUACGUAUGGUGCAAGCGUUAUCCGGAUUUACUGGGUGUAAAGGGAGCGCAGGCGGCACGGCAAGCCUGAUGUGAAAGCCCGGGGCCCAACCGCGGGACUGCAUUGGGAACUACCGGGCUGGAGUGCCGGAGAGGUAGGCGGAAUUCCUAGUGUAGCGGUGAAAUGCGUAGAUAUUAGGAGGAACACCAGUGGCGAAGGCGGCCUACUGGACGGUGACUGACGCUGAGGCUCGAAAGCGUGGGGAGCAAACAGGAUUAGAUUCCCUUGUAGUC
rnacentral:rRNA from 1 species